CCGGAGCCGCGGGGACCGUCAGAGACUUCUCGCGCUCCGUAAUCGGAGGCUUCAGCCCCUAACGAAGAUGGCUGCCUACUCUGUCCGCCUCCGCUUUUCGGGUAUCAAAUGCCAGACUGUCUUCCACUUUCGGGUUACUGUUGAGAGAUAGCGCCGAUUCCGAAGGCUGUGGGGCGGAUCAACCUAGGGCUCCGGCACAUCCGUCCCUGGUGCGCCGCCGCCUUCCUUUCCCGUAGACUGUUCCCUGCGGCCUGGCUGCCCGCUAAGGGUCGUCGCUGACCCCAAACCUGCAAGGAAUUCGGUCCUGAGGACAGGCUCAGAGGCUGCAGAAGAGUGUGCCACCCCACCUCAUAUGCCCUCACUUGCGCUUGUAAUUACCUGUUCAUAUGGAGAUGGACUACUCCUCUCCACGCCCUGGAAACACCUACUGUAUGGAGAUGCACUAAAGCCAGGCAAGAGGUUCUGGAAAUACUGCAGUUUCACCCAGUAAGGUUGGCCAGUGGGAUUCUCUAAGCUGGGUGGCUGGUUUUUGGUUGCCAUGGUGGAGGGGCAACCCUGCAAAGCUCCUUGCUCUCCCAGAGCUCUGCUCAACACCAGCCUCCACUGCCCCCCCAACUCCCCCAGGACAUAGUAGGUUUUCCUCCAUGGCUUGUGGAGAGUGAUCCACUGGGCCUGGGCUGGAUCCAUGCGGAUGGGAGUCGCAGACGGCUGCAGCUGUGGUGCUUGGUGGGGAGAUGGGCUGGGCCCAGGGAGGGCUGCCUCCGAGAUGCUCCGCUCUCAUGUGCCCCUUUCUUUCCGUUCUCCUUACCCCUCCUGACACACUACCUCCUGAACCAUUUUUGUGAUGAGAGGAAGACGACUGGACGGAGUGAUAGAGGCAAGGGGGCUGAUGGACUGGGCACCUUUGGUGGCCUCCAAAAGUCCCUCCUCUACCCUCCACAAGGGUCUAAGCCAUGCCCUCAAAGCCCCUUUGCUCCUGCAUCCUUCCCGGUGGCUUAGACAGCCUGCUUCUGGUGGCCAUGCCCAAGAAGCUCCUGCUGACUGAAGAGCCAGCCACCUGGCCGAGGAGUUAGUGGCCGAGGAAGAGCACAUGAAACAGAAAGCAGAGAAGAGAUGACUCAAGAAGGUAGCUGAAGGGCAGAAGGUGUGGGACCCCAGAGGGAUUUGGGGGAGGGAAAGAAGGAAGCUUUGUGAAAACAGGAGAGAACUCAAGGUGGCUAAUGAUGGAUCCUCUUGCCAGGGGGCCCACAGGGUCUGGAGAGUCUUCCAGAGGCCACAUGGUGCAGUGGUUCUGGGCUCACACUGUACUGCCUGGGGUGGAAUCUGCUUCCUUCUUACUAUGAGACUGCCUGGUGACUCUGCUUUUUCACCUGUAGAAUGAGGAUAACAACAAAAUCUACUUCUUAGAGUUGCAAGGCUUAAAUGAGCAUCAAAAAGAUUGAAAGCGACAGGAGCACUUGGAGUGGGACAGUGGGGAGCCCAAGAUAAGGCCACCCAGAUGGGGAUGGAUGCCCCCCAUUGAGCCCUGGGGACCGAGCUCAGGGACAGUGUGGUGAGGAAGAGGACUCAACUGGAUCUAUCUAGCACCUUCAGGUCUCUAGCUUUGCAUAAGAUUGUAGGUUGGCCCCCCAGUGCCUGCAGAGAGAAGGGACUGAGCCAAGAACCCCAAGGCAAAAGCCUGGGUCCCCAGGAGAAGAUGGGCUGGGAAGAAAGGAGCUGUCCAGCUGAAGAGAACCCCCAGCAAGUCCUGACACAGGUAUCUCUAGGACUGCUGGCAGCCGCCUUACAGCAGAGCCAAGAGCUGGCAAGACCCUCCAAAGGACAGGAAUAUCCUGGGACUUGGGCCCCAGUGUCUGCCUUAGGCCCGAUAAGGGAGGACUGUCCCUCGCAGGACAAGGCCGGAUGUGUGCCCCAGGGAAGGAGAGACACUGUGGUGACUGUUCGCUGCAAAAUUUGAGACCUCGUAUACUCAAACCACAGUUGAAGACAGCCCUGGCAGGCAUUCCUCGUGCCACAGAGACUUCUGACGAGAGCAAGGAGACCUGUGUCCCUGAAACAGCCUUCCUUUGGUUUUCAAGCAGAUGGCUUCCUCUGGCGGGAGGAAAAGUGAAUUCACCCACGGAGGCUCAAAAAGGAAAGUGUACCCACGUUCGGGUUUUCCGACAAGCAGAUCCAGCAGGGGGCGUUUGGAGCUUGCUCUGUUUCUUGGCCCUGGGGGACUCACCUCACAAGCCAGAUCCCUGCUUAGGACUGGGUCACUGUGAUGAAUUAGGCCGGGGUCCUGUCCUUCACCUUGAUGGAUGCACACCUCUUCCUAAUUGCGGUUCUUGGCCCUGUGUUCUCUGGCCCCAGCCCUUCAUGCCCUCCUUCUUAUCCACAUUUCUAUGCAUAUGCUGACCUCUCCAGUGCCCAGUGGUCUUACACUCAUCUCUUGUGACUGCUAGAAGAUUCACCGAAGGUUUGCAUCUGCGAAGUCCCUUACCAGCUCCUUCCUGGAGCUGGCACCCAUACAUCUGCACCCUCCCCCACUACCGGCUCUCCUGCUGAUAGAACUUUGGCAGGCCUAGGCUGCUGCUACCUCGGCCAUGCAGUUUCUCCACUCCAGCACCUGGGCAUUGUAACCAGUCUGACCCAAGGUGAAUUUAUGCAGUUUUCCCACCAAGGGUAACUGCGCUGAAAGAAAGCUAUACUUCUCCACUUGCUUGGUAAGAAUCAUGAUCUCUUCUUGGUUUUUCUUUUAAGAUCCUACCAGCUUCCCCUGGCCAGUUCCUCCCUAGCUCUGCCUGGGAUGUUCAGCUCACUUAAAUGUGGAACUGCAGGGGACUUGUAGGCCUCCCAGAAUGCCUUUCCCAGAGGAAUGAUUCUUUAGGAUAAAUGUUUCCUGCCACUAUGGGUUUUGCUCAACACUAUUCAUACCUGGAGACAGGAGGUGAAAGGGGCUUUCCCAAAUUUAUUGUUUAUGGUGCAGGCCCCUUAAAUGCUGUACGGCAGGAUGAAGUCUGCUGUUAACUGGUUGGACCACCUUGGGCAGGUCUCUCAACAUCUGUGCCUCAGUUCCCUCAUCAGUAAAAUGGGGCAGUCUCUACUUCACAGGGCUGUUGUGAGGACUGAAAGAGAAAGUGCGAGAAAAUACCCACCAAGGGCCUGGUACAUAGUGAGUGUUAAAUAAACCAAUUUUUAUCUGUAGCUGUCCUACACAAUCAUGAUUCCCACAGUGGGAAGAGAGGAAUAUGAGUGAAUUGCUGCUUAGUUCACAAAAUGCAAAGUUCCCAGACUGUGAUUCUCAAAGUGUGGUCCCUGGACCAGCAGCAGCAGCAUCAACUGGGAACUUGUUACAAAUGCAAAUUCUUGGGCCUCAUCCUAGACCCUCGCAGUCAGAAACCACCAGAGUGGGGCCCAGCAGUUUGUGUUUCAGUAAGUCCUCCAGGUGAUCCUGAUGAACUCUAAUGUUUGAGAAGCAGAGGACCUCACAGAGGAGAUACCCAUUCAGAGACCAUUUUGGUGGAAUAGGUCUGAGUUUUGUUUAUCCAAGGCAUGAUUACAAGAGGUGGCAUCACUGACCUAGAAUUUAGAAAGUCUCAAAUGGAGGGGUAUUGUUCAGAUCCAAUUAACAUGACUAGACCCAAUUUCCUAAGUAGAAUUCUUUGCCCAUGCCUGGUUGGGGAGUGGGCUUGGGAGAGGUGAUUGUGUUUAAGGGGUGAUUAUAUUAUAGUCACACCAUUAGAAGCCUGCUAUCUGGCCUUCUUGUUUUGGGUUACUGUGGCUGGAAGGUGGCGGGGUACUUCUUUGCUUUGGGGAUUCCACUAGGACUCCUGGCCCCUCAAAGAAUGCUCACUCACCACAACUGUGUGCUGUCUAUGCUUUCAGGCUGAGCUGACGCCUUGCUCUUUCAGCUUUUCAGAAAAAUAUCCUCUCCCAGUACCUCAGCCUAUCCCGGACUUGAAUCUUCUGUAAGAAUCACAAUACUCCUUACACCUUGCCCCUACUUUGCCUCCACCUUACACUGCUAACUGUUAGGGUUCUGACCCAGCAGCCUGAGUUCUGAGUCCCCAGGGCUGGAAAUCAGGGUGACCAACCAUCCUGGUUUCCCUGGGACUAAGGAAUUUCCCUGGGGUGUGAGACUUUAGGGCUAUAAGUGGGAAAGUCCUGGGAAGACAGGAAUGAAUUGGUUAACCUAAUCUAAAGGUUCCAAAGAGGCACCUUUAGAGGAAAAUGAAGGGAAUUGGAAGGGGGCCCAAGCAGGAAGCAGGGGAGGCAUGUGUGUGUUGUGUAUGUGUAUUGAAGGGGCAAUACAGGUGCAAAGAAUACUUUUGGUACAUAUGGCUGACAGAUUCUUAGCUCUACACUAGUAGUCAUUGUCUGUUUUUGUCCAUGAUGCCAUUUUCUUCCAGUUUCCCAGGUUUGCAAGGUUGUCACUGAUUCAUGCAGGCUUUGGUCGCUGGGAAAGUCACACUGAUUCCUCUCCAUGACAUCUUCCCUUCCUCCCCGCUCCAAGUCUGGCUGUGAAUUCACUCAGCUCUCACCUUCUCCAGUGGCCACAUACUCCUUCCUCAGAUCCCUGCCAAUCUCUGAUACGCCUUGCACGUGUAGGCAAAUUAGCCAGCCCGAAACAUUGCUCUCAUGCCUCUCCUCUCUAAAACUUUCAAGGACCAUGCUCUGUCUACAGUACAAUACCUAAAUCCCUAUCUUUGGCCCUUUCUCCUCUUCUUUCUUUGUAAACUCUUUUCUUCUUUCAAUUAGGCUCAGUCACAGUUAAUGGACAGAACCUGUAGUGGCCAAAAACAUGAGUUCCUAGGUCAGACAAUAACAGGUUAGUUCCAGCCUCACCACUUACAAGCUUCCUGACAAGUGUCCAUGGGCUUCCGUAAGUCAGUCUCCUUAUCCUUAGAAUAAAAUUAAAGUCUCAUCUUA